rnacentral:tRNA from 1 species
GGGGAUAUAGCUCAAUUGGUAGAGUACUUGCCUUGCAUGCAUAUGGCCCUGGGUCCAAUCCCCAGCACCA